UACAGAGGGUGCGAGCGUUAAUCGGAAUUACUGGGCGUAAAGCGCGCGUAGGCGGCUUUGCAAGUCGGGUGUGAAAUCCCCAGGCUUAACCUGGGAACUGCAUUCGAGACUGCAUUGCUAGAGUAUGGGAGAGGGAAGUGGAAUUUCCGGUGUAGCGGUGAAAUGCGUAGAUAUCUGGAGGAACACCGGUGGCGAAGGCGACGUCCUGGACCGGUAUUGACGCUGAGGCGCGAAAGCCAGGGGAGCAAACGGG
rnacentral:rRNA from 1 species